GUCUUAUUGAAUAUAAUUUUAAGUCUAAUCUGCCCAAUGAAUUUUAAAUGGCUGCAGUAUCUUAACUGUACAAAGGUAGCAUAAUAAUUAGUUUCUUAAUUAGAGACUGGAAUGAAUGAUUGGACGAGAUAAAUACUGUCUCUUUAUAAAUUAUAGAAUUUUAUUUUUAAGUUAAAAAGCUUAAAUAAAAUUAAAAGACGAGAAGACCCUAUAGAGUUUUAUAAAAAUUUUUAUUAUAAAUUUUAGUUUGAGAAUUUUAUUUUUUAAAAAAUUUAUUUGAUUGGGGUGAUUAAAAAAUUUAAUUAACUUUUUUAUUUAAAACAUUAAUUUAUGAUUAGUUGAUCCAUAUAUAAUGAUUACAAGAUUAAAUUACCUUAGGGAUAACAGCGUAAUUUUUUUUGAAAGUUCUUAUUAAAAAAAGAGAUUGCGACCUCGAUGUUGGAUUAAAAUUAAUUUUAGGUGUAGAAGCUUAAAUAUUAGGUCUGUUCGACCUUUAAAAUUUUACAUGAUCUGAGUUUAAAUCGGUGUGAGCCAGGUUGGAUUCUAUCUUUAAUUAGUUAUUAUAUUUUAGUACGAAAGGACCAAAUAUAAAUAUAAUAUAUUUCAUUAUGAAUGU
rnacentral:rRNA from 1 species